CCAAUCUAACAGCACGAGAGGCACCGUUCUCCUAAAGGUCUCGCCCCUAUCGCUCGCCUUCCUUUUGACCUGCCGCCUCCACACCCCCGCCCCUCCCCCCUGGAAGCUUCUUUCCCUCCUCCGCCAUGGCCGGCGGCAACCUCUUCGGGCGGGCGCUGAGCUACGUCGUCAACGAGCUCCUCGUUGAGGGCCUCGCAAACAAAAAUGAUCGCCUGAUUCAUAGAACAUCUAAGGGACUGAGUUGUCAUGAAGUAUAUGCACUCGAUUUUCUACUCCGUGCAUUCCAGAGGUUUGCUGUGAAGACCAACAGGACUCUGGAGAAUCUUUCGUCUAAAGUUAAGGAAGUGAGGGAGGAGGUUUCAGAGCAGUUUAGGGAAUCUCGUGGCCAUGACGAUCACUUCAAGCACUGAAGCUGGUUCACACAUUUCAUGCCUUCACCAAGACAACGCUAACGGUUCAAUCUUGUGCUACUGGUUUUCCUUGAGAUCUUCAAUUUGCUUGGACACAGUCUGCAAAGCUAAGAAUAUGUAAUUUGUGUUGCAUGUUGUAUCUCCUUGCACACCAAAUUAUAUUUUGUUGAGAAUUUGCUUUUGACAACUGCUGUGAACAUAAUGGAGCUCUUGUAAUAUAUGCCCCUAGGCCCCUGCAAUUUCAUUUUAGCAGUGUACCUUGUUGUUGUACCUGGAUGAGAAGUUGUAGUUUGUGAUGUUGUUGGAGUAGAGUUGCUUGAUAAUUGUAAUACCGGAGUUCUAUGCUAUGUGUUGUUUGAAGAUACUUAAUAGCUUCUAUAGCAGCAUUGUCUUCA